UUUAAGGUUCCCGUGCCGAGUGUCGGGCAGUAUUGCUGGCUCCUUCCCGGUGGCCUGGAGAGGGGAGGGAAGGGGAAAGGAGGGGGGGGGGCCGAGAGACCUGGCAGGGCGAGCGGACCACGCAGGUGAACCGGCCGGAGACGUACCACGGCCCGUGCGUAUCCCAGCCAGACCGGACGGCCCCCCUGCUGGUGCCAUGCUAGGACUUGUUUUUCUUGUCGUUUGUCACUGAGACUGGAAUACUUUCUGUGCCAGGCGAGAGAACAGCCCCUGGAGAUGAGAAAUAACGGGUAAAAGAAAGGCUAAACCCAAGCUGUGGGGAAGUGAGCUCGCACAGACCGAGUACUGAAAGAUAACAGCCGAGGAGGUGUGUUUGUGGAAAGGCGGUCACGGUUUCAGUUGUGUCAUUCCCCCCCCCACCCCGGCUGCGACCUGAACGGACCGGUUUGGUCCGGUGACCCCUGACUGACGGGUGAGGUCAUAGCGGUCUUCUGUCAUGAACUCUGGUUCAAACCACCUUAGGUGACUAACAGGUGACAACACCACCCCGCCGCGGUUCGUCCGGCUUGGUCGGGCGUGUCUGCGGGGUGGGAAGCCGGAUGUGGGUACGUGUCCUGGUCGCUCCUCUGGUCGGUCGGGGCUCCUGUUCGGGGGGGGGGUGGUGUGAUCCUCCCACGCGCUACGUCUCCCCCUGGCGAAACUCCUCACCGUCGGGUGAAAAGAAGCGGCUGGCGACUCCACAUGUAUGGGAGGAGACAUCUGGUAGUCCGCAGCCCUCCCCGGAUCGGCAGAGGGGGCGGAGCAGCGACCGGGACUGCUGGGAAGAGUGAGGUGAUUGGCCAAGUACAGUUGGGGAGAAUCAAAGAUGACUAAGAGGUGACAUCAUCCUUCCACCACCUUUCUUUAGAAAUGGGGAAGGCCACGGGCCGUUCAAACUCACCCUGUUGUUCAAUAAUGUUCCUGUCGCUGGUGUAAACUGCUGGUGUCGACCUCAGAUGGUCCGAUUUUGAUUCUGUGUCUUCAUAUGAUCAAUAGCUACAUGUUUUUGGAGCGCCUUUACUGUCAUUGUGUGUGACUUUUGAGGGACGAGACGCUCGGACGGCGGAAGGCGGGUGGACGAAGGCCGCACACGAGAAGUGCUCUGCCAUGAGAACUGAAUUCCAUAGAUGGCGGCUCCUUCAGGUGGACAUCUAUGGACUCAGUUCUUUUGCUAUGGUGCCUGGUGAUCGUCGCAGCUGCAGAAGAUGGUCCACCGGAACGCCUCCCUGCUGCGCUUGGACCGCCGCCACCAGCUCCUACAGUCACACAGCGGUGUCGUGAUUCACCUUUAGACGACGAGGAAGCUGCGUUCAAACAUGAGCGCAAAUAUUGUGACGUCGUUGUUAUUGCAUAAGUCCAGCACAUUUUUGAUUUGCUUGUCAGAAUAACGUCCACUGGUGGUGCAGAUGUUUACAAGCUGUUGCUAAAUAAACAUAAUUACAACAAA